GCAGGAGCAGGAGCGAUGCGUGGUGGAAGGCAAAACAGAGGAAGAGGCAGAAGAGUACAUAGGUGCAUAUCUGAUGACAUAAGGGCCACCAUUGUAGACCAUGUUGUCAAUCAUGGCCUUACAAUGACUGAGGCGGGUCGAAGGGUGCAGCCAAAUAUUGGGAGAUCAACCGUGUCCUCAAUAGGUCAAACAUUUCGAAGAGAGAACAGGACUGCAAGAUUACCUCAAACCGGUGGCAGAGGAUGCCUUUUCACACCUCAACAGGAGGAGGAUAUUUGCACCAUGGUCCGUGCAAACGAUGCCAUGAGACUCACAAAGGACAAAGGAAAUACAAAGGACCGCUAUAGACGACAACAAUGUCUUAAACAUCCAUACGGUUAACAUCUCAACCAUCGACAGGGUGUUGCAUAGAAACCAGUUGAGGAUGAAACAGCUGUACCGUGUACCAUUCCAAAGGAAUGAGGACAGAGUUAAGGAGCUACGCUACCAGUAUGUACAGCUUGGAGGUGGAAGGUGUACGAUCGUCAGCCACACACACAGAUGACCCUGCUGGCUGCAAUGGAUGCAGCAUGUGAGGACAUCACAGUAGACUCCUGCAGAGGAAGGAUAAGGCAUUCCAAAAGAUUCUUUCCACAUUGCAUUGCAAGGGAAAAUAUCCGGUGUGAUGUGGAUGAGAACAUGUGGGCCGACAGACUGGGUGUAGAGACCGCACUAGAACAGUGCUGCGGGCAAAGUUGUGCCUCAGGGGUGUUUCCUGGGUUUCUUUCUAAUUUAGUGUUUUUGUUUUUUUUGUUUUUUGUGCCCCUUGUCUUUUUCUUACUGUAAAUCAUUUUUUCUUUUCUUUUUUUCUUUCAUAAAGUAGCACUAGUAAAAGCUGUGAAAAACAAUCCUGUCCCAUCUCUUUCAAUCAAUAACCCACAUACAGUAAUAUGUAAAUAGUACUGUUGAAAUUGAUAUAUGCCAUAGAAGUGCAGCCUUGUGCAUUUUCAACACCGUAACUGUCAUCCAAACUGUAGCCUAAGUUUACAUCAGGUAAUCCUGUCAAAGUACAGUUACAUUGACAACAUGCCUAAACAAUUUGACGACCUUGUUCGUGAACAAUGACUCAAUGACUUAUCAUUCUGAUGAUACUGACAUGAUCAUUGGCAUGAAUAUUUACUUUUGAGAGAUGUACUAA